rnacentral:rRNA from 1 species
GUGGGGAAUCUUCCGCAAUGGACGAAAGUCUGACGGAGCAACGCCGCGUGAGUGAAGAAGGUUUUCGGAUCGUAAAGCUCUUUCGUUAGGGACGAACGUGCUCUUUGUGAAUAAUGAGGAGUAAUGACGGUACCUAAAUAAGAAGCCACGGCUAACUACGUGCCAGCAGCCGCGGUAAUACGUAGGUGGCAAGCGUUGUCCGGAAUUAUUGGGCGUAAAGCGCGCGCAGGCGGGAUAUCAAGUCUGUCUUAAAAGUGCGAGGCUCAACCUCGUGAGGGGACAGAAACUGGUAUUCUUGGGUGUCGGAGAGGAAAGUGGAAUUCCAAGUGUAGCGGUGAAAUGCGUAGAGAUUUGGAAGAACACCAGUGGCGAAGGCGACUUUCUGGACGAUGUCUGACGCUGAGGCGCGAAAGCUAGGGGAGCGAACGGGAUUAGAAACCCGUGUAGUCC